AUUGGAGAUAUUUUUUGAAAAGAUGUGAGUUACGUACUUUUUGUCGUCUCAAUUUUUAGAACAUGUGAAAUAAGGAAGUAAAUAGGCUCCAGUCUCACCUUAAAAUACUCAGUGACUCAGUGAUUUCAACGCUCCUGACCUGAGUCCGUGACCGGAGUCGACCCCCGACUUUCAGCCAUGGUGCUCACCAAACUGGUGCAGCCGGUGGUGGGGGCCGUGCUGCGCCGCUGGCGGUCUCUGCUGCUGCUGCUGGCGGCGCUCAGCCUACUGCUGCUGCUCUACCUGCAGACGGGCCUGCACUCGCCGCACCAGCUGCAGGAGGCGCGCCGGCUGCCGGCCGAGCAGCCGCCGCCCGCCGUGCCGCUACUCUACAACGAGGACGGCACGCGCCGAGUGCACCCCAACGACCCGCCGGCAGCGCCCCUGGCGGACAUGCUGCGCAACUCGGCGGCGCUGGCGGCCGACGGGCCGCCGGGAGCGGGCGGCGAGCAGCUCCCGCUGGCCGGGGAGCGGCUCCCCCCGGCAGAGGAUCCCGUACCGCCAGAGCACGGGCCGCCGCCGGAGGGAGAGAUGCUGCCGGACGUGCCGCUGGAUCGGGCGCGGGUGGAGGAACUGCACCAGGAGCGUCAGCUGCAGCACAUCGGACGACAGCCGCGCACACCGUACGUCCCGCGACGGCGCGUCAUCCACUUUGACCUGAAGGGCGCUCCGCCGACCGUUCCCUACCUACUCAAAGUGUUUGCCAUCGUGAAGAAGCUGGGCGCUACGGAUGUUAUGAUGGAGUGGGAGGACAUGUUCCCGUUCUCGGGCGCACUGCGUCCGGCCGCCGCAGGCAACCACUACAGUCGCGCCGAGGUGCGACAGAUCAUCGCUGAGGCAAAACGGCUCGGUCUGGGAGUUAUCCCUCUGGUGCAGACGUUCGGUCACCUGGAGCUGUUUCUCAAACUGGAGCAGUUUUCCCACCUGCGAGAGUCGCCACCGCACCCGGAGGCGCUCUGUCCGUCCCGGAACGCCUCGCGUCGACUGGUGGAAACCAUCAUCGACCAAGUGAUGGAGCUCCAUGCCGGAGCUGCCGAGCUACAUGUCGGCUGUGACGAGGUCUACCACAUGGGCGUGUGCGAUCUGUGCCAGCGCCGGCUCCGGGACGAGCUUUUCCUGGAGCACGUGGCGUACGUGGCGCGGUACGUGCGCCGCCGGUACGGGGCCACGCCGCUGAUCUGGGACGACAUGAUGCGUCACAUUCCGGCCGAUACGCUGCGCCGCUCCGGUAUCGGCGAGCUGGUGGAGCCGAUGGUCUGGGUGUACGCCGAGGACGUGGACCGGUUUGCCGGUCCGCACGUGUACAGCACCUUCUCGGAAGUGUUUCCGCGCGCGUGGACGGCCGCCGCGUACAAGGGCGCGUUCGGCGAGACGCUGAUUCUGCCGCCGCUGCAGCGCCACCUGGACAACACGCUCAACUGGCUGGCCACCAUGCGGCGCGAGUCGGAUCGCUUCUCAGACGGGUUCGCCGGCAUGGUCAUCUGCGGGUGGCAGCGGUACGAUCACAUGGCUGUCCUGGCUGAGCUGCUGCCGGCUGGCAUUCCCUCUCUGGCUAUUGACCUGGCUACCGCGACACACGGCUAUUACAACCAGUCGCUGCAAGAACCGAUCAGGAACGCUCUUCGCUGCGGGAACUCGGGAGUCGGGGGCGACUCUGAACCGUUUCUGCAGCUGUCCGAUGACCCGGAAGGUCUGUACCAGUUCUCACAAUGCCGCUUUCCCGGUGUCAAGUUUUUCAAACUGCUGGGACGCUACAAGGCGACUAUAGCACAGACUGAGGAGUUCCUGAAAACGGCCACCGAGAGCAAGGGCUGGCUGACGGAGUACAAUGUGGAGCGCAACUACUCCAACCCGUUCCGUGUGGACGAGCUAACUGAGAUGUACUACAGCCACAAGCACAUGCUGAGCGCGAUGGUGGGCUCGGUGAAAUCUGCUCUGACCGGCGUGGUGGACCGCUACACCAUUGCGGAGUGGGUGGAGCAGAAACUGUGGCCCUACCUGCGCCGGCUGGAGCGUCUGCAGGAGCAGGCGGACGCGCUCAAACGCCGCUCAGUGUGGCCACGCCGGCCGCUGCCCAUGCUGCAGGCACUCGCCCAGUACGGUCUGAACGUUACUGAGACCAAGGACCGGCCGCAGAAGGCCGAGGGGGUCAAGGCGGCGGCCGGGCCGCGCGCCGGCGCUCGACCGGCCGGGCUGGCCGUGGAGGGCGGCCGAGCUGUCUAAAAACACUGGGAGGAGAAGCGUACCCAGUUGAUGCUCUAGCCUGGUCACCGUGGAUCAGGGCACACCGCCACCCCAGACACGAAAAAGAAAGCGCUGGCCGUGUUGUGGCACGGAUCUCUCUCGCCGACUUAUGUCCGGUGACAAAUAGCUUGAUGACAACUCGAUAAGAGACCCAGCAGUGGAUAUGAGAUUAUAUUCACGUUGGGAUAGCUGAGAUGAACGGAGGUCACAUGUCAGUCGUCUCCGGUGGGUAGGUGGCGCUUGUUUGCUGGCCCUGCUGGUGAGAAGGUAGUGGCGCAGUUGAUUCUGAAGAUGGGCAGCCAGUGUGUCGUGCUGGGCUCAGCAGAGCGCUCGGUGAUGGAGCAGCGGGAGUGUUACUCGUUAGUCGUUACCUCCUCCAACCACCAGCUACCUGGCUCAGCAGCGGGAGCAUACCGAGCGGACGGCUGCAUUCCGUGAGACUACUUCAGUGGACGGGUCCGAACUACUAGAUACUACCAGUUCGGUCUGCCCACCCGGGAGCGUCCGAGUCUACGGGUCCCGUCUUCCAGACUGUAUCAGUCUACGGGUUCUAUCUUCGAGGCUGUAUCAGUCAACUGGGCUCCAUUCCUCUGCUGACUGUAUCAGUCGUCUGGCUCCAUUCCUCGAGACUGUAUCAGUCGCUGGGUCGUCCACAGGAUUGGUACGUGCCCUGAGCUAUAGCAGCUCGGAGUUCCGCUACAUGGAACGUAGUGGUGGUGGACAAACGGUGGUUGGCCAGCGUAGGAAAUGGGAGCUUCGUGUUUCAGGACGCACUGAGGAGACUGGGGUAGUGAGAUGUUGCCGAUUCGCUAACCAAAGACGCUGUAAGCUUUCUCUGGUCGCUGUUGCUCUCCAUGUCACUUCCUGUCGAGCCUAUUGGCUACUGCUUGGGAAGUUUUUAUUGCAUAUUUGACGCUUUGUCAGUGAAGUUCACAAUUGUGCUUAAAUGUAUCAUUGUUCAUCGUCCAGUCAAUAUUGUGUUGAAACUGUGCGCUGCCCCGAUUAUGUAGCGUACUAUCGACUCUCUUGCCGGUAUGUUCUUUUUACAUUGAGCGUCCAUCGUAAUGUAUCUUUGAAUGUCGCCACAUUGGGAUGACGCCGGGAAGACAGGAUGUCGAUGGUCUGACUGCACGCUUGUGUUGAGACGAGACGUUGGCCUCGUCCAGGAAUCGCUAGUUACGCCCAAGAGACGAUGGCAACGGCCAGCAGCUGGCCGCUAAGGUGAUCCUCUGCUGGCGAUGAUGAGCUAGUACCGCUUAGGAGACGCGUUUGCUGGCCAGGAAACGCCGGUAUCAGUGGAGACGCUGGUUAGAGGAAGACCGACUAGGAGACGUUGAUGGUUGAAGGAACUCGCGUUGCUCGACACAACGCUACAUUUACACCAGAGUGCUGGCUAAUGUCAUUCUCUGGUUAGCCACUAGCGUUCGGGGGUUUCACCCCGGCUGCCAAAAAGUGGUGUUUGGUUCCUUGCAGGAUGGCCACGGUGGGUCUUCGCUGCUUGGUAAAGCUUGUUUUGUGUCGUGCCGGUCCGGUCCCGAAGUUGAGCGCAGCUGUUGCUUUUUGUCGUACCUUAUUGUGCAGGUCGUGGGUAAGGAAGUGAUUCAUCAUUUUGUAGCUCUGUUUAGUGAAGGGAAGUUGAGAUGCUAUCAUGUCUUAUUUCGCUGUGUGCUAGGGAAUGUUUCUUAUGUGUCAUUUUCGUCUAUCUUUUUCGGUACCUUGAAUAUGAUGGCUGCUAUUGUGCGAAAGAUGUUCACCGAGACUGCUAGCUCACGGAUAGCUGUUCCGAUGACUUGCUAGCUUUCGUCUGCUGUUAUGUGUUUCGGCUUAUUUUGCAUGACUGCAUGAAGUUCUCAUAGUAUGUUAGCCACUCUAGUUUUGUCAUCGGCGCGGGUAAUAGCCAUUGACCAUUUUGUUGGCCUGCUCGGAACUUUUGUGGGGCGCGGGCUGGUAAUCACCUCAACGAGAAUGAGAGCCACCGAUGGCGGCGCUGCCAACAGCCGAUGGGUGCCGCUGUCUCGGGUGUCUCCGAUUCAGUUGGGCCGCUCCACUGACCUGGGUCAGAGUGUGACGCUAAAGAAUGUAUGGUGUGUGGCAGGACGCCGUUUACUGUUAGAGAUUCACUUGGGAUGAGGGUAAUAGUGGCCACUCUGCGAGAUUGUGUAGCAGUUAUACCGUUAGAUAGUGAUGUUCAUUAGUGUGAAUGGCGUUACUCGGCGCUACUUUGCUAGUUCCGGAAAUCAUCAUUUUUGCAACCCAAUGGAAGCCUUUCCAAAUGUUUUACCCGCAUGACAAGCGACGUUCGCAUGGCCUCAGAUUACCUAUAGACACUGUACGACUUUUUAUUCAACGAACCAUGCUCAUCGGAUAUUCGGCACUAAUAAAAUGUGUACGAAGAG
rnacentral:misc_RNA from 1 species